rnacentral:lncRNA from 1 species
GUGGCGGGUUAUGAAUUCUCAUGGAUCAUGCUGCGAUAUCUGAGGGAUAACCGUCCAUGACAGUUAUGAUAUGUUGAAUGAGUUGGCCGACUAUGCGUCGGGGGUUGAUCGUCGGUUGAGAACUCUGAAAUACCGACGGUCGAAGUAGUCCACUGCAUGUAUUGUCCGAACUUCGCUUGCUUGCCAAUCUUGAGUCGGUGAGGUGUGUUUAGUUGGU